AUCACUUCUCGGCCUUUUGGCUAAGAUCAAGUGUAGUAUCUGUUCACAUCAGCUUAAUAAUUUUUAUUUCUUUUUGAUGACUUCAAUGAAGUUGUUUAUAUUUUCAUUUCUUCCAUUUGUAUUGAGACGGAUC
rnacentral:snRNA from 1 species